rnacentral:rRNA from 1 species
CCUACGGGUGGCAGCAGUGAGGAAUAUUGGUCAAUGGGCGCGAGCCUGAACCAGCCAAGUAGCGUGAAGGAUGACUGCCCUACGGGUUGUAAACUUCUUUUAUAAAGGAAUAAAGUGAGGCACGUGUGCCUUUUUGUAUGUACUUUAUGAAUAAGGAUCGGCUAACUCCGUGCCAGCAGCCGCGGUAAUACGGAGGAUCCGAGCGUUAUCCGGAUUUAUUGGGUUUAAAGGGAGCGUAGAUGGGUUGUUAAGUCAGUUGUGAAAGUUUGCGGCUCAACCGUAAAAUUGCAAUUGAUACUGGCAGCCUUGAGUACCGGAGAGGUCAUCGGAAUUCCUUGUGUAGCGGUGAAAUGCGUAGAUAUAAGGAAGAACACCAGUGGCGAAGGCGGAUGACUGGACGGCAACUGACGGUGAGGCGCGAAAGCGUGGGGAGCAAACAGGAUUAGAUACCCUUGUAGUC